CGUCUUCGGCUUGAGGGAGGGGGAGGACAAGCAGAUGCCAGACGGAGGACGCCAUCGGCGGCGGCGGCGGCGGCUCGGAGUCGGAGUUGAUGACGAGUUCGUCGGAGGGAGGCAAUCGGACGGAGGGCAGAAGUUGCCGAGAGACCAACGCGAGCACAAACUCGAUCUCCGCGUUGGAAACAGUCGGAGGCGAAGGUUUGAGGAACCAGCUGCGACUGGCGGGGCUCUUGGAGGAGGCGACGUGCCAGAGGUAGAUGACCGGCGAGGCUUUUUGGAGAG
rnacentral:lncRNA from 1 species